GCUUAUUGUAAUAAUUUUUUAAUUAGAAAUUCAAGCGAGGGACAGUGACAAAAUAUAAUAAUAAAUACAAUAAUAUUAGAAAAACUGAAAACCCUAAAAUAAGAAAAAAAAGGGAUGGACAUCAACAGAGAGAGUAAUGCAUCCAUACUUUGAUAAGAAAAUCCUGGAGUCGGCAUUAAAGCAAACGCUUAUCGAACUAAUCAUCGAGCAUCUUUCGAAGGCGAUCUUUAAUAUAAUCUUUACGGGCUUUAGCUCGAGCUUGUUGAGGAGCUAUGUUGGCCAUGGACAGGUAAGCUCCAUAACAAAAUAGUGAAGCGCCGGUGAUUAGAAAGCCAACUGUCACCGCUAGUUGCUUCCGCGUUGGUGGAUACGACCAGAGCACCAUUUGGAUUUUGCUAGUUCUUCUCUGGUAGAGAGUAGAGAUGAUUGGGGAAGAAAAAGAGCGAAUUGGGCGAUUUUCUGCUGCCUGAAUUGGGCUAAGGGCUGGUUG
rnacentral:misc_RNA from 1 species